rnacentral:rRNA from 1 species
CAGCCAGACUCCUACGGGAGGCAGCAGUGAGGAAUAUUGGUCAAUGGCCGGGAGGCUGAACCAGCCAAGUCGCGUGAGGGAAGACGGCCCUACGGGUUGUAAACCUCUUUUGUCAGGGAGCAAGGUGCAGGUCGGGACCUGCUGUGAGAGUACCUGAAGAAAAAGCAUCGGCUAACUCCGUGCCAGCAGCCGCGGUAAUACGGAGGAUGCGAGCGUUAUCCGGAUUUAUUGGGUUUAAAGGGUGCGCAGGGGGGGGCAAAGGUCGGGGGUAAAAGCGGGGGGCUCAACCCCGCUCCGCCGUUGAAACUGUGUCCCUUGAGUGCGCGAAGGGUAGGCGGAAUGCGUGGUGUAGCGGUGAAAUGCAUAGAUAUCACGCAGAACUCCGAUCGCGAAGGCAAGUGUCCGGGGUGCAACUGACGCUGAGGCUCGAAAGUGCGGGUAUCAAACAGGAUUAGAUACCCGAGUAC